GAUGAAGAACGUAGCGAAAUGCGAUACGUAAUGUGAAUUGCAGAAUUCAGUGAAUCAUCGAGUCUUUGAACGCACAUUGCGCCCCUGGUAUUCCGGGGGGCAUGCCUGUCCGAGCGUCAUUGCUGCCCUCAAGCACGGCUUGUGUGUUGGGCCUCCGCCCCCCGGCUCCCGGGGGGCGGGCCCGAAAGGCAGCGGCGGCACCGCGUCCGGUCCUCGAGCGUAUGGGGCUUCGUCACCCGCUCCGUAGGCCCGGCCGGCGCCCGCCGGCGACCCCCCUCAAUCUUUCCAGGUUGACCUCGGAUCAGGUAGGGAUACCCGCUGAACUUAAGCAUAUCAAUAAGCGGAAGA
rnacentral:misc_RNA from 1 species